rnacentral:rRNA from 1 species
AAGAACUUGGGCCGAGGGCUUACCAUGCAAGUCGAGCGGGGAAGGGUAGCUUGCUACCUGACCUAGCGGCGGACGGGUGAGUAAUGCUUAGGAAUCUGCCUAUUAGUGGGGGACAACAUUCCGAAAGGAAUGCUAAUACCGCAUACGCCCUACGGGGGAAAGCAGGGGAUCUUCGGACCUUGCGCUAAUAGAUGAGCCUAAGUCAGAUUAGCUAGUUGGUGGGGUAAAGGCCUACCAAGGCGACGAUCUGUAGCGGGUCUGAGAGGAUGAUCCGCCACACUGGGACUGAGACACGGCCCAGACUCCUACGGGAGGCAGCAGUGGGGAAUAUUGGACAAUGGGCGAAAGCCUGAUCCAGCCAUGCCGCGUGUGUGAAGAAGGCCUUUUGGUUGUAAAGCACUUUAAGCGAGGAGGAGGCUACCGAGAUUAAUACUCUUGGAUAGUGGACGUUACUCGCAGAAUAAGCACCGGCUAACUCUGUGCCAGCAGCCGCGGUAAUACAGAGGGUGCGAGCGUUAAUCGGAUUUACUGGGCGUAAAGCGUGCGUAGGCGGCUUUUUAAGUCGGAUGUGAAAUCCCUGAGCUUAACUUAGGAAUUGCAUUCGAUACUGGGAAGCUAGAGUAUGGGAGAGGAUGGUAGAAUUCCAGGUGUAGCGGUGAAAUGCGUAGAGAUCUGGAGGAAUACCGAUGGCGAAGGCAGCCAUCUGGCCUAAUACUGACGCUGAGGUACGAAAGCAUGGGGAGCAAACAGGAUUAGAUACCCUGGUAGUCCAUGCCGUAAACGAUGUCUACUAGUCCGUGGGGUCCUUGAGGCUUUACUGGCUCAGCUAACGCGAUAA